rnacentral:tRNA from 1 species
GAGGGUAUAGCUCAAGUGGUAGAGCGCAUGCCUAGCAUCACACAAGGUGCUGGGUUCAAUUCCCAGUAUCUCCU